GACGAACGCUGGCGGCGUGCUUAACACAUGCAAGUCGAACGGAAAGGCCCUGCUUUUGUAGGGUGCUCGAGUGGCGAACGGGUGAGUAACACGUGAGUAACCUGCCCUUGACUUUGGGAUAACUUCAGGAAACUGGGGCUAAUACCGGAUAGGAGCUCCUGCUGCAUGGUGGGGGUUGGAAAGUUUCGGCGGUUGGGGAUGGACUCGCGGCUUAUCAGCUUGUUGGUGGGGUAGUGGCUUACCAAGGCUUUGACGGGUAGCCGGCCUGAGAGGGUGACCGGCCACAUUGGGACUGAGAUACGGCCCAGACUCCUACGGGAGGCAGCAGUGGGGAAUAUUGCACAAUGGGCGGAAGCCUGAUGCAGCAACGCCGCGUGCGGGAUGACGGCCUUCGGGUUGUAAACCGCUUUCGCCUGCGACGAAGCGUGAGUGACGGUAAUGGGUAAAGAAGCACCGGCUAACUACGUG
rnacentral:rRNA from 1 species